AUUGAACGCUGGCGGCAGGCCUAACACAUGCAAGUCGAGCGGAUGAAGGGAGCUUGCUCCUGGAUUCAGCGGCGGACGGGCGAGUAAUGCCUAGGAACCUGCCUGGCAGUGGGGGAUAACGUCCGGAAACGGGCGCUAAUACCGCAUACGUCCUGAGGGAGAAAGUGGGGGAUCUUCGGACCUCACGCUAUCAGAUGAGCCUAGGUCGGAUUAGCUAGUUGGUGGGGUAAAGGCCUACCAAGGCGACGAUCCGUAACUGGUCUGAGAGGAUGAUCAGUCACACUGGAACUGAGACACGGUCCAGACUCCUACGGGAGGCAGCAGUGGGGAAUAUUGGACAAUGGGCGAAAGCCUGAUCCAGCCAUGCCGCGUGUGUGAAGAAGGUCUUCGGAUUGUAAAGCCCUUUAGGUUGGGAGGAAGGGCAGUAAGUUAAUACCUUGCUGUUUUGACGUUACCAACAGAAUAAGCACCGGCUAACUUCGUG
rnacentral:rRNA from 1 species